AUACGGAGGGUGCAAGCGUUGUCCGGAUUUAUUGGGUUUAAAGGGUGCGUAGGUGGUUUUUUAAGUCAGUGGUGAAAGCCUACAGCUUAACUGUAGAGGUGCCAUUGAUACUGGGGCACUUGAGUAUGGACGAGGUAGGCGGAAUUUGUGGUGUAGCGGUGAAAUGCAUAGAUACCACAAGGAACACCGAUAGCGAAGGCAGCUUACUGGGCCAUAACUGACACUGAGGCACGAAAGCGUGGGGAGCGAACAGGAUUAGAAACCCCAGUAGUCC
rnacentral:rRNA from 1 species